GAUGAACGCUGGCGGCGUGCCUAACACAUGCAAGUCGAACGAAAGGACGAGAAGCUUGUGCUCUUGCUGUUAGCGGCGGACGGGCGAGUAACACAUGGAUAACAAACCUAUAUUACUGGGAGAAUUACGGGAAACCGCAUCUAAUACCAGAGCAUACUUUGAACCGCUUGGUUCAAAAGAUAAUGACGGCUUUGCCGAUUCUUAUAGACGGUUCCGCGCUGCAUUAGCUAGUUGGUAAGGUAACGGCUUACCAAGGCAACGAUGCAUAGCCGACCUGAGAGGGUGAUCGGCCACACUGGAACUGAGACACGGUCCAGACUCCUACGGGAGGCAGCAGUAGGGAAUCUUCGGCAAUGGGCGAAAGCCUGACGGAGCAACGCCGCGUGAGUGAUGAAGGUCUUCGGAUCGUAAAGCUCUGUUAUUAGGGAAGAACAGAUGUGUAAGUAACUGUGCACAUCUUGACGGUACCUAAUCAGAAAGCCACGGCUAACUUCGUG
rnacentral:rRNA from 1 species